ensembl:lncRNA
GGGAGGGGCUCAAUGACACAGAGGAAGGAAAUGUUUCAUAACGCUUCCCCAGGCGGAAAACCACGGGGACAAUGGUGAGAACGACCGCCGCCCCCCAUUCCAGAAGCUGAAGCCCCAGGUGAAAGAAGUCAACUUUCUGCUUCCCAUAAGCACAUAGAUCCCAGACUGUUUAGAACCAGAAGGUUAAUGAUGCUGGUGCUUGAUUAUCACACCACCAACAAAUCAAGAAAAUGUCUCUGCACUAAUCACAUCCUGCUCCUCAAAUGCUGUAAGACUCCUCACUACCCCCUCCAAGGGCGAGUGGGGCUCCAUCCUUGAGGUACUGGUCUGCCAUGUUCUCCUCUUUGCCUGGCAUUUAAAAAUACUUUUUCUUUUUCCCCAACUCUGUCUCAACCUUUCUAUUUGGCAUCGGUAUACAGAGGCAGCCGAGAUUUUGGCAACCGUGUUGAAUCAAAAAUUAAGAGUGGGUAUAAUUGAGGCCUGGGGCUUUUCAGAAGAAAGGAAGGCUAGAUGCUAUUGAGGCAGAAUAUUAACUCAGACAGUCAGUGUAGGAACAUGGAAUACAUCCUUUGAUAUGGCUAUUGAUUAACAUUUGUGGCUUAAGGGCUCCAGGGAGUAACACCCCCCACAGGACUUGUUUUAUCUUAGCAAAUGCACGUUCCCCACAGGCUUUGUUUACUAUAGGAAAAGCAAAUCUCUAGUCCAUUCCUCAACUGAUAGAAAAGGAAUGAGAGGAAUGGUGACAGUCUAAGGAAAGAGAAGGACAAAGAAACUAUAAAACUUAUGGGACUUUUACAACCCUAAAGCACCUAUUGGACAAGGACUGAUAUAGGUAAUUGAGCAAGGCCAACGGGAGAACACCACAUCUUUCUGGACCCCCAUUUGUACCCCCCCACCUUUAAGGAAUAAAAUCCCUAUAGGACAAUAAAGAAGGGGGCUCUUCUGCCCCCCUCCCAGCAGCCCUGGGAGCUAUUUGCUUUUCUUUAGUAAAGACUUUGCUUGCUUGCUGCCUGUGUGUUCGAGGAGUUCAUUCUUCGACUGCCAUGAACAAGAACCUGGAUUCUGGUAUCACUAUUUUGUUUGAUAUAUGGGGUAAGGCUUUGUCACUGUGUACGUCUUAAUUUGCCUGGAGUUGUCCAGUCAGUAAUUGAAUUCUGUUAAUUGUAAUCUCAUGUUCAUUUUGCGACUUUUAACACUUCCAUUAACAAUAGAUUUACUGGAGUUCCUGUCGUGGCGCAGCGGAAACAAAUCUAACUAGGAACCGUGAAGUUACAGGUUCGAUCACUGGCCUCACUCAGUGGAUUAAGGACCCAGUGUUGCUGUGAGCUGUGGUGUAGGUCGCAGACUCGGCUUGGAUCUGGCUUUGCUGUGGCUCUGGCGUAGGCCGGCAGCAACAGCUCCGAUUGGACCCAUAGCCUGGAAACCUCCAUAUGCUGUGGGUGUGGCCCUGAAAAAGACAAAAAAAAAAAAAAAAA